rfam:Felis catus isolate Cinnamon breed Abyssinian chromosome D3, whole genome shotgun sequence.
GCCUGGGUGGCUCAGUCGGUUAAGCGGCUGACUUCGACUCAGGUCAUGAUCUCGAGGUCCGUGAGUUCGAGCCUCGCGUCGGGCU